AGCGAACGCUGGCGGCAGGCCUAACACAUGCAAGUCGAACGAACCCUUCGGGGUUAGUGGCGGACGGGUGAGUAACACGUGGGAACGUGCCUUUAGGUUCGGAAUAACUCAGGGAAACUUGUGCUAAUACCGAAUGUGCCCUUCGGGGGAAAGAUUUAUCGCCUUUAGAGCGGCCCGCGUCUGGUUAGCUAGUUGGUGAGGUAAUGGCUCACCAAGGCUACGAUCAGUAGCUGGUCUGAGAGGAUGACCAGCCACAUUGGGACUGAGACACGGCCCAAACUCCUACGGGAGGCAGCAGUGGGGAAUCUUGCGCAAUGGGCGAAAGCCUGACGCAGCCAUGCCGCGUGGAUGAUGAAGGUCUUAGGACUGUAAAAUCCUUUCACCGGUGAAGAUAAUGACUGUAGCCGGAGAAGAAGCCCCGGCUAACUUCGUGCCAGCCGCCGCCGUAAGAC
rnacentral:rRNA from 1 species